GGAAGUGUCUGUUGAAGCUGGUGUGAUGCGGAACAAAGAGCAGGCGAAGGAGGACUAGUGUUUCCCAACACGGGGCAGAGACGAGGAAUCCUCUUCCUUCGAUUCGUGGGCGGUGAAGAGAGGCGUAAGGCGAACCUGAAGUAAUCGAUCAACGUAUUACAGCAAGGUCCUCCAAGUCCACCAUGACGUUUGUCUGCAUUACAGACACAUUGGAUAGUUGACGCUGAAUUCCUCCUGCUGCACCGGCCAAAUUGAGUCCCCGGUCUGCGGCCCUGUCUGGGGAAUCAGCUUGAGCACUAAUCGAUCAACGUAUUACAGCAAGAUCCUCCAAGUCCACCGUGAUGUUCAUCUGCAUUACAGACACAUUGGAUAGUUGACGCUGAAUUUCUCCUGCCGCACCGGCCAAAUUGAGUCCCCGGUCUGCGGCCCUGUCUGGGGAAUCAGCUUGAGCACAUUAUGGCAUCUAUCUCAAAGCACCACUUAUCAAGAACAACCAACAACAACAAACAGUUGCGUGGGGGAUUCACAUCAAUCUCAAACCCUCACCGUUCAGGAACAACCAACAAACAAUUUGCGGUAAGUCAUGGCAUCCAUUCAUGUUAUUUCUUCCUGCAUUGCAUGUCACAUUUUUAAUGUUAAUGAGUUAGAGACACGCAUCCAAACUCUAGUGGAGGGUCAGUGAGAAAGAGAAGCCAGUAGAUACUGUUUUGGAUGCGAGUAGUACAGAGAGCAACACACACACUUUUGUUCCGGAUCUAGAACUCCCACAGCAGGGCAUUUGGGUGACGUCUUGGAGGCAUACUCGCUCAGCAAAGAGACACCACUCUCCCGUUCCUGUUAGGGUUUCGAAUCGAUUCUUCCCACUCAGUGAUACACCCACUGAGAAUCAUGUUGAAAGAGCACUUGUUAUUGAUGAUUCUAUUGUAAGGAACGUGGAAAUAGAGACUCCACUCACUAUUGCUAAUUGCAGGCUAAAAGUGCUGGCUAAUGCUAAACAAGAUUUUCUAAAAUUGUUAUUCAUGUCGGCACUAACAAUGUCCAGCUUAGCCAGUCGGAGAUCACAUAAGAUAAUGAUAAAGAGGUGUGUGAAUUUGCAAAAACAAUGUCAGACACUGCUCUGGUCCCCUCCCUGCUCGUUGUGGUGAUAAGGUUUAUAGUAGAUUAAUGUCACUGAAUGGCUGGAUGUCUGAGUGGUGUCUGGAGAAUAGAAUAGGAUAUAUAGACAAUCGGAAGAGUUUUUGGGGUAGACCUGACCUGGUAAAAAGAGACAGACUCCAUCCCUCCAGGGAGGGUGCAGCUCUCCUCUCUAGUAAUUUUGCUCAUAGUCUUAAUAAUGAUAGUAUUUUACUAACUGGGGCCCAGGGCAGGAAGCAGACAAACUGGUUAAUCCGAACAUCUGCUAGCUGCCUUGAGACAUCACACAGGUCACAUAAACUACAACACAUAGAGACAGUAUCACCUAGAUAUCUCAUAGAGACCGUGUCUGUUCCCCAAACUACCAACCACAAAACCCUCACUAAAGCAUUUCGAAAAUGUUUAUUAAGGUCAAACUUGCACAAAACAAACAAAUAAAAGAUAAAAAUCUUGUAAAAAUAGGGCUACUAAACAUUAGAUCUCUUUCUACCAAAGCACUAAUUGUUAUUGGAAGGAUUACAGAUUAUAAAUUUGAUGUGCUCUGUUUGACUGAAUCCUCAAACUCAUCAAACCUCAAAUUUUAGCAAACUCAUAGAAAAUAACCACAACAAUCUUAAGUGUUUAUUCAGUACUGUGGCUAAAUUGGUUCAGAAUAAAUCCUCAAUAGAACCAGAUAUUACGUCGCUGCAUAAGACUUAAUGACUUAAUGAAUUUCUUUACUGAUACAAUUGAGAUAAAAUUGGAAUUAUGCAAUCAUUUGUCAUAGCACCUCAGAAAACAGUGUCUAAUAAUUGUCCUCACAUGCAACUUCAAUUCUUCACUGUCAUAGGUCAUGAAGAGCUAACAAAACUUAUAAAAACAUCAAAAGCCACAACAUGUUUGUUCGAUCCAAUACCAACUAAGUUCAUAAAAGAGGUAUUCCCUGUAAUCUCAGAACCUCUUCUUAAUAUUAUUAACUUCUCAUUAUCCUUAGGUCAUGUCCCAAGAAACUUUAAAAUGGCAGUUAUCAAAUCGCUUAUUAAGAAGCCACAACUUGAUCCUGGAGAACUGGCUAAAUAUAGACCGAUUUCAAAUAUCCCGUUUAUGUUGAAAAUACUAGAAAAGGUAAUAUCCUCCCAAAUAUGUAAAUGUUUACAGAGAAAUAGUAUAUACGAAGAAUUUCAGUCAGGAUUUAGGCCUCAUCAUAGUACAGAGACUGCACUUAGACUGGGGCGGCUGUGGCUCAGGUGGUAGAGCGGAUCGGCUACCAAUCACAGGGUUGGUGGUUAAAUUCCCGGCCCACACGAUUCCACAUGCCGAAGUGUCCUUGGGCGAGACACUGAACCCCAAAUUGCUCCCAAUGGCAGGCUAGCGCCUUGCAUGGCAGCUCUGUCGCCAUUGGUGUGUGAAUGUGAGUGUGGAUGGGUGAUUGGGACACAGUGUAAAGCGCUUUGGUAACCUCUAAGGUUAAAAAAAGCACUAUAUAAGUGUAGACCAUUUACCAUUUACUUAUCAGAGUUACAAAUGACUUGAGCUUAUCAUCUAACUGUGGCUGCAUUUCACUUCUAGUGCUUUUAGAUCUUAGUGCUGCAUUCGACACGCUACAUCAUGCCAUUCUCUUGAAUAGGCUGGAGAAUUUUGUUGGUAUUUGUGGAGUUGCAUUAGCAUAGUUUAGGUCCUAUUUAGCAUACCGCUUCCACUUUUUCUAUGCAAAUGAGGAAUUGUCAAACCAAACAGAAGUAAAUUAUGGAGUGCCACAGGGAUCAGUUUUAGGGCCUUUGCUUUCUCCUUGUAUAUGCUUCCCCUGGGAGAUAUUAUCAGGAAUCGUGGAAUAAGUUUCCACUGCUAUGCUGACGAUGCACAACUUUAUAUUUCUUCAAAACCUGAUGAGAUUUCACAAUUCUCAAAAUUAGCAGAGUGUAUCAAUGAAAUAAAAGAUUGGAUGUCCCAAAAUUUCCUUCUACUCAAUUCUGACAAAACAGAGGUACUAAUUAUUGGACCAAAAAACUCUAAAAAUAAGUCGCUAAUAUAUAAUUUGACUCUCGAUAGAUGUACCUUGUUAUGUCGUCUUCAACAGCGAAGAACUUAGGUGUUAUAUUUGAUACAAAUCUGUCCUUUGAAAAUCAAAUUAAAAAUGUUUGUAGAACAGCAUUCUUCCACCUUGAAAUAUAGUUAAAUUAUGGCACAUACUCUCUGUUGCUGAUGCCGAAAAACUAAUUCAUGCGUUCAUGACCUCAAGACUAGAUUAUUGUAAUGCAUUUGCUGGGAGGAUGUCCAGCAAAAUCAAUAAAUACAUUUCAAUUGGUUCAAAAUGCAGCAGCCACAGUGGUAACGAGAACCAAGAAAUAUGAUCAUAUUAGCUCCAUUUUAUCAUCGUUACAUUGGUUACCUGUUAAAUUUUGUAUUAAUUAAAAAAUUCUGUUAACUACAUACAAAGCUUUGAAUGGUCUAGCUCCGCAGUACUUAAGUGACCUUCUACCAUGCUAUAUUCCAUCACGUUCAUUACGAUCGCAAAAUUCUGGCCUGUUAAUAGUUCCUAGAAUAUCAAAAUCCAAUAAAGGAGGAAGAUCCUUUUCAUAUUUGUCUCCUAAACUAUGGAAUAGUCUCCCAAACACUGUUUGAGAUGCAGACACACUCUCUCAGUUUAAGUCUAGACUAAAGACUCAUCUAUUUAGCCAGGCAUACACCUAAUUUAUCCUCCAACCCACAAUUAGGCUGCUUUAGUUUAGUCUGCCGGAACCAGAAACCAGAAACAUUGAUCAUGAUUUAUAUCUCUGCAAUAAAUUGAAUGCCAUCUAUGCUUAUAUUAUUUUAUUUUUUUCCCUGUCUCAACCUUGGGACUCCUAUCCUGAGGUCACCAGAACGGCUGGAUCCAGCUCCAUUCCUGCUUCGUGUUGGACUCCACUGCUACGUGUCACUGAAUGAUGAUGACUAAAUGCAGCCAGUGCCAGCCAUAUAUCACUUCAGUCUAUUAUGAUGGGCUUCAGAGGAUUAACUGAUGCCAACUCUAACCAUAAAGCAUGGGAUACUUCAUAUGUCAUUGUCUGAACCUUGGAUUUAGGAUGGACCACACCGAGCCUCACCGAAAUUACUGCGUUCUACAUCCCUGAUCUCUGCCUGCAUCACCUCGGUCUAUUGAUGGACUACGAUCUUGAAACGGAAUGCAUAGACUAACAAUUGCCAACAAAAGCCUUCACCAGCCAAUUAACAAGGACAAUUGCACCUAUGUGAACUUCUGCAGUUAAUCCAGGAUGGACUUCAAAGACAUUGGUCAUUAAUCUUACAGUUAAUACAAAAUCUAUGCUUAAACACUGACCCUUAACACUUACUUAGUUUAAUAAUUUAAACCAUGACUUUAUCUAUACAUAAGUAAUAUUGGCAUUAUAUUCAUGAUGUUAGUCAGAGGGGAACUGGCCCCCACAGUGAGUCUGGUUUCUCCCAAGGUUAUUUUUCUCCAUUAAUCUACAUCUUAUGGAGUUUUGUGUUCCUUGCCACAGUCGCCUUCAGCUUGCUCACUGGGGUUAUUAAAACAAUUAUUAUAUAAUUACUUAUUUUUAAACACGAUUCAAAAUCGUAUUCUAUCUAAUUACACAAUGAUGACUCAUCAACAUUAUAGACAUUUCAGUUUAAUCUUCUGUUAAUGCCUGAUCUUCUGUAAAGCUGCUUUGAAACGAUGUGUGUUGUGAAAGGCACUAUACAAAUCAAAUUGACUUGACUUUUAUCAAACUGGAACAGAAAAAGAAUUUGCUGAAUUUGCUGCAGCAUUAAGAUGUAUCUUCACUGGGAAGAAAAAGGCCUAGCCAAACCUUAUUCAUGAACUUUGAGUUUGUCACUUAGUAACACAAAUUUUAUCUUCCUCAUAUUGCCAUGAAAUGUUUCUUUGAAAUGGUCUAUAACAUUUAGUGGUUGUAAAUUAAUAUAUUGGAGUAAAAACAGAAGUGAUAUAAAGCAGGUUUGAGAAUCAUCUUGCAGUUUUAAAAGCACAUUUUCUCAUGGACUGGUCUGUUGUUGCUUUAUUUGUCUCAUGUCACACUUUAUCUCUCUCGCACGCGUACACAUGCAAAUCAGCAGAUAUAUCUAUUGCAUUUAACAGUGUUUAUUUUAACACAUUGAACCACAGUGUGUUUACAGUUCAUGAGUUUUAACAGUUCUCUCUGGUAAUUCUUAGAAUCGAAUAACUACAUUGAACUAUAGUGCCCUUUAUUCUUCACCAGAGCUGGAUUGUGGAUGGGUGCAGUUGGGCCCAUUAGUAUGUUUAAGGAAAUCAUGCUUGUAUAACUAUAGUAAGAGGGGUCUGUAACAACAGGCAAUGGUGGGGAGCCUUGAAAGACGUGUGUCUAGGGGCCUCACGGGGAGCCCCACAAUCCAGCUCUGUUCAAAACAUAUCCACAAGACUGGUCAAGAUUUUAUACUCUACAGUUUAAACAGUGUUAAAACAAUAGAUUACUUGAUACAUUUGUGCAUUUAAAACAGUUUUAUGCAUGUGAACCAUUAAGAUGGUUCUGUUGAACUCAUCAGUGGUUGUCUUGAUGGAUCUUCUCAUGUGUUGAGUCAGUUGAAUGAAAGCAGCUGUGGUUAAACUGGCAUGUUUGAUUGUGGUUUGUAAGAAACAAAGAGCCAUGAACUGCUGUGAACUGAAGACACGGUUCUGAAUCUAGUUUUGACCGCUGUAGGAUGGCAGAUUAAAAAUCUGAUAAAAGGCCAAAAAUGAGCUGCAGUAGUUCUUGAGAGAGAUAAAGAUCAAACGAAGAUCUGUAUAUGGAGUUAAAUGAAGAACUGACGUGUCUAAAGUUCACACAUUUAUUUCUGAGACAGCGAGUGUGACUGAGGUCACUUUAUCGUCUCAUUUCAUUCUCAACAUGUUAUUUUCCACCGCACUGGGCCUCAACUUUUAAAAGACAGUUUAAUGUUUAUAUGUAAAUGAAAUUUACUCCUAAAAAAUAAUAAUACAUGUUUAUAUUUGCUUGUUGUUGGUGGUGUUAUGCACUCCUGCAUUUUUUGUUAUUUAAAGGCCUAAUUAGAUCUCUUGUAUUUUGUGGAUAAGCAUUUGGUAAAUUAAUACAUAUUACAUGAAAAUCUCAAACCAGGUUCUAGAUCAUUUUAUUGUACAGUAUCUCUGAUAGUGUUCGUGUACAAUCUAAAGAUCUGUAUGUGACCAAAGCAAGACAAAGUUAUUUGUUUUACACAACGACAAAGGGUGGAUGCUAUUGUCAGUUCAUUGCUUCUGAUGACCAGCUUUGUGUUAUGGGACCUAAGAUUGCAAUUCUCAAUGCAGUAAUUUGUCUUGUUGGGUCUCCAGAUGCCAAGUACUGAAAUAAUUUUGAUCAGUUUUUGGUUUAUAUUUGUUCAGUCAUGCAGCAAACAUGAAAAUGCAGAAGCUGUUUGUGGAUUUAACAGAAUUAACAUGUAAAAUGAAAUCAGCCUUGAUUAACACGAGGCAAAGCCUGAAUUCUGAAAUGAUGUGAAGAGCAUACAGUAUAAUGUGUUUCAGUGUGUUAUUAUAUAAGUGUCAUUAUUUGCAAAAGCCUUAGUUGUUAAUAAACUCAUUG